GGCUCAGGACGAACGCUGGCGGCGUGCCUAACACAUGCAAGUCGAGCGGAGAUAGCAGCAAUGUUAUCUUAGCGGCGGACGGGUGAGUAACGCGUGGGCAACCUGCCUUGUACAGGGGGAUAACACUGGGAGACUAGUGCUAAUACCGCAUAACACAAAGCUGUGGCAUCACAGAAUUGUCAAAGGAGCAAUCCGGUAUAAGAUGGGCCCGCGUCCGAUUAGCUAGUUGGUAAGGUAAAAGCUUACCAAGGCGACGAUCGGUAGCCGAACUGAGAGGUUGAUCGGCCACAUUGGGACUGAGACACGGCCCAGACUCCUACGGGAGGCAGCAGUGGGGAAUAUUGCGCAAUGGGGGAAACCCUGACGCAGCAACGCCGCGUGAAGGAAGAAGGCCUUCGGGUUGUAAACUUCUUUGAUCAGGGAAGAAUAAUGACGGUACCUGAAAAACAAGCCACGGCUAACUACGUGCCAGCCGCAGC
rnacentral:rRNA from 1 species